GAUGAACGCUGGCGGUGUGCCUAAUACAUGCAAGUCGAGCGAACAGACGAGGAGCUUACUCCUCUGACGUUAGCGGCGGACGGGUGAGUAACACGUGGAUAACCUACCUAUAAGACUGGGAUAACUUCGGGAAACCGGAGCUAAUACCGGAUAGCAUGUUGAACCGCAUGGUUCAACAGUGAAAGACGGUCUUGCUGUCACUUAUAGAUGGAUCCGCGUCGCAUUAGCUAGUUGGUAAGGUAACGGCUUACCAAGGCAACGAUGCGUAGCCGACCUGAGAGGGUGAUCGGCCACACUGGAACUGAGACACGGUCCAGACUCCUACGGGAGGCAGCAGUAGGGAAUCUUCCGCAAUGGGCGAAAGCCUGACGGAGCAACGCCGCGUGAGUGAAGAAGGUCUUCGGAUCGUAAAACUCUGUUAUUAGGGAAGAACAAAUGUGUAAGUAACUAUGCACGUCUUGACGGUACCUAAUCAGAAAGCCACGGCUAACUACGUG
rnacentral:rRNA from 1 species